rnacentral:tRNA from 1 species
GUCCAGGGAUAGGAAUUGAACCCACAGUGUUCUGCUUACCGGGCAGAUGCCAUGUCCACUAGGCUACCCUGGA